UUUUCCAGAAGCUCCAUUUGCCCAUUGCAAUUCUACACUCGAAACAGUUUUAGUAACAGCAAGAUUACUAGGUGCCAUUGGAGAACCAUCUUGUGGUCCAGUGGUAACAUUACCACAUAUUGAGGGUCCAAAAUCAAUAGUUUGUGCUCGAACCAUGAAAGUAUACAUAACUUCUUCUUCUAAAGAUUGAAUGAGUAAACUAGUUUCUGUUAUUUUUUGCUUGACUUGUUUACUAAAACCUUUAAUAAUAUAUCGAUAAUUUAAUAUAAAGAGAUCAAUAUUUUAUAUAUUCAUAAUGUAAUAUAAAAAAACUAGAAAAACCUACGAUCAUUUUGUUCUGCUGUUUCAUAAGUUACUACAUAACCAAUUAUUUCACCAUUUCGCAUUUUUGGAGAUUCCCACGAUACACGUAAACUUGUCAUUGUAAUUUCGGAAAAUCUAGUUGCUGGAGAUCGUGGACCAUCGCCAGCAGGAUUAAAUGCUAAUACUUGUAUACGAUAUUCUGUAUACUUAUCAAGGAAAACUAAGCUAUAAGUUAAAGAAGAUGCCGGUACAACUUCUAUUUCUUCUUCUUGUUUUUUUUCGAAUUUUUGCGGCGAAUCAGUUACCAGAAGAUCUCCAUUUUGCAUAUUUGCUUGUGGAGGUUUCCAACGUAAUAAAACUUCUGUAGAAGAAAUUGAUUCAGCUUUAACAUGUUGAGGCACUCCGGUGGGUACUGCUUCACCUACAUAUACAGUAACUGGAGGACUUGGCGGACCUUCACCCUCAGAAUUAAAUGGUAGCACUAUAAUUUCAUAAUAUCUAUCUUCUGUCAAAUCACUUAAUAUCAUUUUUGUUUCCUAUAAUAGAGUAAAUAAAUGCAUUUGUUUUAUUACAAAAAAAAAAUCUUUAAAGAAACAAAGAAGUUUAAACAAACCUUUAUUCCUAAAAUGUCUUCUUUUGGAGUUGCUUGAAGAGCUAUUGGAAAAUCUGAUACUGGUUGGUAAACUACACGAUAACCACCUGUUUUGUGAUCACCACUCCAAUAUAUCUCAUCAAUAGUAUUCCAAUAUACUUCUACACUUGAUGUUGUGAUAGGUACAACUUUUAAUCCAGUUACACCUCGUGAAGGAGCUAUAUAAAAAUUUUAUAAAUGAUACUUAACUAUAUUGUAUAAUGUAUAUACUGCUUACUUAUGUUCAUGAUUUAUAUUAAUUUACACACCUGCUGGUAAUGUCUGUACUGGAAUUGAUUCUGUACUCCAAUCUGAGGGUCCUAUAUCGUUAGUCGCUUGUAUACGAAAUUGGUAUAACGUAAACGGUUUUAAAUUAUUUGCAGUGUAAGAUGUUAAGGAGGGAUCCACUCUUUCAGGAAUCGUUUGAAAUGGUCCAGAAUUUUCCGACUGUUGCACCGUAUAAUAUCUAUUACAGAUAUGAAUAUUUUAAAUUUUCUUAUUUAAUUUUAUACCUAAUACUUUAAAUAUAGAUCAAUAUACCUUAAAGGAGCAAAACCAUCACGACCUGGUGUCCAACUAAAUGUUAUUUGACGACUUUGUAUUUGUGAUUUACUUAUUUGAGGCACUGAUGGAGGUUGAGGUCGUUCUCUGUUAUUUGUUGUAAAUACAAGAACAUAUGCUGUUUUACCCCAUCCAAGUCGUGUUUGUGCUGUGACGGAAAACAUAUAAUAUCUUUCUGGUUCUAAACUAGUAGCUCUGUAAAAACAAAACGAAAUAUUUAAAUUAAUAAAUAAUAUUUAUAUAUAUUAAUAUUACAUCACCAGUAAUUUUACCUAAAAGUUCUAUCUGAAG